rnacentral:rRNA from 1 species
GAUGAACGCUGGCGGUAUGCUUAACACAUGCAAGUCGAACGGAGCUUUUCGGAGCUUAGUGGCGGACGGGUGAGUAACGCGUGAGAAUCUGCCUUUUGGACCGGGACAACUGCGGGAAACGGCAGCUAAGACCGGAUGUGCCUUCGGGUGAAAUAUUCAUAGCCAAAAGAGGAGCUCGCGACCGAUUAGCUAGUUGGUGGGGUAAGAGCCUACCAAGGCUGCGAUCGGUAGCCGGUUUGAGAGGACGACCGGCCACACUGGGACUGAGACACGGCCCAGACUCCUACGGGAGGCAGCAGUGGGGAAUUUUCCGCAAUGGGCGAAAGCCUGACGGAGCAAUACCGCGUGAGGGAGGAAGGCUCUUGGGUCGUAAACCUCUUUUCUCAGGGAAGAAGCAAUGACGGUACCUGAGGAAUCAGCAUCGGCUAACUCCGUGCCAGCCGCCGCCGUAAUAC